rnacentral:misc_RNA from 1 species
GUAAAGUCUCAGCAGACCCUGAUUUCCUGCUUUCGCUUCGGUGUUGGCUUUCUGUUCGAUAAUCUCUUCAUACCUGGUAAGUAGUGGCAACGGGGCAGCUAAAAUUGCUGAGGAGGGCUUGAUACUUCCCCCAACUAAAAACUUCAAGGCUAGUGAAUUCCCACUUGUGUGUCUCAUUUAUCCCAUGUCCCAACAUUUUCUACCUAGUGUGAGCCUGUUAUGAUGACAAGGAUUGAGAGCAGUUAGCGAGCUGAGCUGAUAGGAAUCCGAGAAUUGAAUUGUAUAAAUAAUGCGGGCAUUGUAAUUAAUACAAUCAUCUAUGUAAUAG